ensembl:lncRNA
AAAUGGGUGAGAGAGAGCGGAAGAGAGAGAGGUAGACAGUGGGAGAGGGAGAGAGAGAGAGACAGGACCAACACUCUGGACAGCAAAUGGGUGAGAGAGAGCGGAAGAGAGAGAGGUAGACAGUGGGAGAGGGAGAGAGAGAGACAGGACCAACACUCUGGACAGCAAAUGGGUGAGAGAGAGCGGAAGAGAGAGAGGUAGACAGUGGGAGAGGGAGAGAGAGAGACAGGACCAACACUCUGGACAGCAAAUGGGUGAGAGAGAGCGGAAGAGAGAGAGGUAGACAGUGGGAGAGGGAGAGAGAGAGACAGGACCAACACUCUGGACAGCAAAUGGGUGAGAGAGAGCGGAAGAGAGAGAGGUAGACAGUGGGAGAGGGAGAGAGA